AGAAGCUGCUUCCCUGCAUUCUACUGAGAGCAUCCUGUGCACUGUGGAAGGUUUUAAAUGAAGAGAAAGACUGAGUCUAAUUCUUUCUAUGAGGAGAGAAGGAAGCCAGGGGAGGAUGGAAAGAUACGUCACAGCACUGUCAAGGCUACAACCAUUAUGCCACACACUGGAGACUGAUAUGGAACUGGGGCAGGAGCCUCAGCAAGAACAAGCAGCAGCUCCAGGCAGCAACGACAGAGAAGCCAAAGUGGAUAUGCGAUCACAGAGGCGUGUGCAGGGGGGAGGAGACAAGAAGGUCCUGCUCCACUGAUCAAUGUAAGAUCCAAUGUUUAUCCAGGCUACUUAUCCGAGGUGAGCCAGGAAGGCAAAGAAGAUCAACUGAGGUUCGGAUUAUCCCUCUGGGUGGCUCCAUCCCCAUGGUGACCAUUCAGUGUCCUCUCCGUGGACAGAGCAAAUCAACAAUUCAACAGGCUUCAUUUCCAAUUGGGAACAUCUCCUGCUCUUCCCAUUCUGGGUGUUCUUAAGGGCUUGGUCUGCCAAUUUGAUGUGGUUUCUUGCAAAAGAGACUAAUAAGCCUCAGGGACUGGAUGCUUUUUCUAUUUUACUAUUUCAAGGCACAAGGUUAUUGAGACCUAUCUAGUAAUGGAGAACAAAAGCAGAGGAGGAAAUAACUAUUUGUAAACCAAAAAAAAACUUUGGUAACUACAGAAUCUCUGACAUUAGGCUUAUUUGGGUUUCUUGAAUCCCAGAUAAGAUUCUUUUAAAUUUAAUUUCUGUUGACGUGUU